rnacentral:rRNA from 1 species
AAUGGGGGCAACCCUAAUCCAGCAAUGCCGCGUGAGUGAUGAAGGCCUUAGGGUUGUAAAGCUCUUUUACCCAAGAUAAUAAUGACAGUAUCGGGAGAAUAAGCUCCGGCUAACUCCGUG